UGGGGAAUUUUGGACAAUGGGCGAAAGCCUGAUCCAGCAAUGCCGCGUGAGUGAAGAAGGCCUUCGGGUUGUAAAGCUCUUUUGUCAGGGGAGAAACGGUGAGAGCUAAUAUCUUUUGCUAAUGACGGUACCUGAAGAAUAAGCACCGGCUAACUACGUGCCAGCAGCCGCGGUAAUACGUAGGGUGCAAGCGUUAAUCGGAAUUACUGGGCGUAAAGCGUGCGCAGGCGGUUUUGUAAGUCUGAUGUGAAAUCCCCGGGCUCAACCUGGGAAUUGCAUUGGAGACUGCAAGGCUAGAAUCUGGCAGAGGGGGGUAGAAUUCCACGUGUAGCAGUGAAAUGCGUAGAUAUGUGGAGGAACACCGAUGGCGAAGGCAGCCCCCUGGGUCAAGAUUGACGCUCAUGCACGAAAGCGUGGGGAGCAAACAGGAUUAGAUACCCUGGUAGUCCACGCCCUAAAACGAUGUCUACUAGUUGUCGGGUCUUAAUUGACUUGGUAACGCAGCUAACGCGUGAAGUAGACCGCCUGGGGAGUACGGUCGCAAGAUUAGAACUCAAAUGAAUUGACGGGGGUCAUAGCUGUUUCCUG
rnacentral:rRNA from 1 species